CGGACCGACGGGAGCUUGCUCCCUUAGGUCAGCGGCGGACGGGUGAGUAACACGUGGGUAACCUGCCUGUAAGACUGGGAUAACUCCGGGAAACCGGGGCUAAUACCGGAUGCUUGAUUGAGCCGCAUGGUUCAAUUAUAAAAGGUGGCUUUCAGCUACCACUUACAGAUGGACCUGCGGCGCAUUAGCUAGUUGGUGAGGUAACGGCUCACCAAGGCGACGAUGCGUAGCCGACCUGAGAGGGUGAUCGGCCACACUGGGACUGAGACACGGCCCAGACUCCUACGGGAGGCAGCAGUAGGGAAUCUUCCGCAAUGGACGAAAGUCUGACGGAGCAACGCCGCGUGAGUGAUGAAGGUUUUCGGAUCGUAAAACUCUGUUGUUAGGGAAGAACAAGUACCGUUCGAAUAGGGCGGCACCUUGACGGUACCUAACCAGAAAGCCAUGGCUAACUACGUGCCAGCAGCCGCGGUAAUACGUAGGUGGCAAGCGUUGUCCGGAAUUAUUGGGCGUAAAGCGCGCGCAGGCGGUUUCUUAAGUCUGAUGUGAAAGCCCCCGGCUCAACCGGGGAGGGUCAUUGGAAACUGGGGAACUUGAGUGCAGAAGAGGAGAGUGGAAUUCCACGUGUAGCGGUGAAAUGCGUAGAGAUGUGGAGGAACACCAGUGGCGAAGGCGACUCU
rnacentral:rRNA from 1 species